GACGAACGCUGGCGGCGUGCCUAAUACAUGCAAGUCGAGCGCAGGAAACUGACGAAACUCUUCGGAGGGAAGGCAGUGGAAUGAGCGGCGGACGGGUGAGUAACACGUAAGGAACCUGCCUCAAGGAUUGGGAUAACUCCGAGAAAUCGGAGCUAAUACCGGAUAGUUCAACGGACCGCAUGGUCCGCCGAUGAAAGGCGCUUCGGCGUCACCUUGAGAUGGCCUUGCGGUGCAUUAGCUAGUUGGUGGGGUAACGGCCCACCAAGGCGACGAUGCAUAGCCGACCUGAGAGGGUGAUCGGCCACACUGGGACUGAGACACGGCCCAGACUCCUACGGGAGGCAGCAGUAGGGAAUCUUCCACAAUGGACGAAAGUCUGAUGGAGCAACGCCGCGUGAGUGAUGAAGGUUUUCGGAUCGUAAAACUCUGUUGUAAGGGAAGAACACGUACGAGAGGAAAUGCUCGUACCUUGACGGUACCUUACGAGAAAGCCACGGCUAACUACGUGCCAGCAGCCGCGGUAAUAC
rnacentral:rRNA from 1 species